rnacentral:rRNA from 1 species
AAUAGAUACCCGGGUAGUCCACGCCGUAAACGAUGGAUACUAGCUGUUGGAGGUAUCGACCCCUUCAGUAGCGAAGCUAACGCGUUAAGUAUCCCGCCUGUGGAGUACGGUCGCAAGACUAAAACAUAAAGGAAUUGACGGGGACCCGCACAAGCGGUGGAUCGUGUUCUUUAAUUCGAUGCUAAACGAAGAACCUUACCAGGGUUUGACAUCCCUUGAAUUAAUCCGAAAGGAUUGAGUGCUUUAUUGAACAAGGUGACAGGUGAUGCAUGGCCGUCGUCAGCUCGUGUCGUGAGAUGUUUGGUUAAGUCAAUCAACGAGCGCAACCCUUGCAAGUAGUUGUAUUUUUCUACUUGGACUGCCCCGGUAACGGGGAGGAAGGAGGGGAUGAUGUCAGGUCAGUAUUUCCCUUACAUCCUGGGCUAGAAACACGAUACAAUGGCUAGUACAAUGCGCAGCGAAGCCGCGAGGUGAAGCAAAUCGCAUCAAAGCUAGUCCCAGUUCGGAUUGGAGGCUGAAACUCGCCUCAUGAAGUCGG